rnacentral:lncRNA from 1 species
UUUUUUUUUUUUGAGGAAAGUUCGAUGGGGUUAUUCAUGAGAAUAUUAUAGUCACACAAUAGUGAGUUCCAAAAAAUGAUGGUGGUGGUGGUGGUGGAAGAGUGGAAAUAGACUCCCAUCACCCUACUUGGUCCAUCAUUUUUGAAUGCAAAGGAGGCAGAAGUGCCACCUGAAAAUUAUUAAAGGGAAGAAGAACUACUUACAAGUGCCAACAGCAGUGCUGUCUAAUUGCAAAGAAAAUUCAGCAAAUCGUCAUUAGGCUCGGCUUGGCAAUAGCAACCCUCGUUCCAGCGGAUCACUUCAGUUUUCAGCAAAUUUCUUGUGGAAA